AUGCUUACCUGGCAGGGGAGAUACCAUGAUCAUGGAGGUGGUUUUCCCAGGGCAAAGCUCAUCCAUUGCACUCCAGAUGUGCUGACCCCUGCAAUCUCCCCAAAUGUGGGAAACUCAACUGCAUAAUUUGUUGUGGUGGAGGACUGCGUUCACAAGAAAAAAAUAAAAUAAAAUAAAACCCCUGCC
rnacentral:snRNA from 1 species